UGGGGAAUUUUGGACAAUGGGGGAAACCCUGAUCCAGCCAUCCCGCGUGUGCGAUGAAGGCCUUCGGGUUGUAAAGCACUUUUGGCAGGAAAGAAACGUCGCGGGUUAAUACCCCGCGAAACUGACGGUACCUGCAGAAUAAGCACCGGCUAACUACGUGCCAGCAGCCGCGGUAAUACGUAGGGUGCAAGCGUUAAUCGGAAUUACUGGGCGUAAAGCGUGCGCAGGCGGUUCGGAAAGAAAGAUGUGAAAUCCCAGAGCUUAACUUUGGAACUGCAUUUUUAACUACCGGGCUAGAGUGUGUCAGAGGGAGGUGGAAUUCCGCGUGUAGCAGUGAAAUGCGUAGAUAUGCGGAGGAACACCGAUGGCGAAGGCAGCCUCCUGGGAUAACACUGACGCUCAUGCACGAAAGCGUGGGGAGCAAACAGGAUUAGAUACCCUGGUAGUCCACGCCCUAAACGAUGUCAACUAGCUGUUGGGGCCUUCGGGCCUUGGUAGCGCAGCUAACGCGUGAAGUUGACCGCCUGGGGGGUACGGUCGCAAGAUUAAAACUUAAAUGAAUUGACGGGGUCAUAGCU
rnacentral:rRNA from 1 species